UACGGAGGGUGCAAGCGUUAAUCGGAAUUACUGGGCGUAAAGCGCACGCAGGUGGCUGAGAAAGUCGAUUGUGAAAGCCCUGGGCUUAACCUGGGAAUUGCAGUCGAAACUACUCGGCUAGAGUAUGGGAGAGGACAGUGGAAUUCCCGGUGUAGCGGUGAAAUGCGUAGAUAUCGGGAGGAACAUCAGUGGCGAAGGCGGCUGUCUGGCCCAAUACUGACACUCAUGUGCGACAGCGUGGGGAGCAAACAGG
rnacentral:rRNA from 1 species